rnacentral:rRNA from 1 species
UACGGGGGGGGCAAGCGUUGUUCGGAAUUACUGGGCGUAAAGGGCGCGUAGGCGGCCAGCUAAGUCAGACGUGAAAUCCCUCGGCUUAACCGGGGAACUGCGUCUGAUACUGGAUGGCUUGAGUUUGGGAGAGGGAUGCGGAAUUCCAGGUGUAGCGGUGAAAUGCGUAGAUAUCUGGAGGAAAACCGGUGGCGAAGGCGGCAUCCUGGGCCAACGCUGACGCUGAGUGAGCGAAAGCCAGGGGAGCAAACGGG